rnacentral:rRNA from 1 species
AGCGUAGACGGUAAAGCAAGUCUGGAGUGAAAACCCGGGGCUUAACCCCGGGAUUGCUUUGGAAACUGUUGAACUGGAGUGCAGGAGAGGUAAGCGGAAUUCCUAGUGUAGCGGUGAAAUGCGUAGAUAUUAGGAGGAACACCAGUGGCGAAGGCGGCUUACUGGACUGUAACUGACGUUGAGGCUCGAAAGCGUGGGGAGCAAACA